GAGAUUCCCAAUGGGUUCUACUCACCUAUGAAGAAUAAAUUCAGAGCUGAGGAAGAAAUCACUUACCAGUGCAGAGGAAAUUUCCGUCCUGCCACCCGUGAAAGUAAGGCGCAGUGCAUGAGUACUGGCUGGGUGCCCACUCCAAGAUGUAACAUGAAACCCUGUGACCGUCCACAAAUAAAACAUGGCGACCUAGAUUAUAACGCUAAA